CAUUAAGUGGCUGAAAGUAAGCUUUGGUCUCUUAAACCAAUAAAUAGUAUAUUAACAAAAUACUCUUAAUGA
rnacentral:tRNA from 2 species